CUAGUUGAAAUAUAAAAUAAACAAGCAGGUUUGAUCUUAUGUUAUUUGAAUCACUCACUUUGAUAGCAAUGAGCUUCAGUCUCGUAAACAACUUGCCUGCAGUCAAAUGACCUUUGUGAUGAAAAAACUAAAAAUUGAAACUUAGUUAAUUUUCACUCUUCAAAAGCAAAAGCAAAAUGUUCUGCAAGUAUUCUAGUAUUUUGUAUUUUUAAGGCUUAGAUAGUGAUGGAAGGCAACGAUAGAGAAUUUUCUGUAUUUCCCUAGUUUCUUUCACUUUUCGAGUCCCUUCUUUUUGGACUAACAUGCCUGAGCCACAAUCGAACUUAAGGAAAGCAUGAGUAUUUCUAGAACUGACAUUUUCAAGCACCAGUGAAUUACUGAAUCACUCAUUCUUGGCACUGAUACAUUAUACCCAUAAUUGUUCUGCUUGAGGAGGUGACAUUUCCAGAAACGGCAGUUCAGCGUGACAAAGGACACAACACUGCUGGGAAGAUAAGUGAAAGGUGACAAGACCAUGCAGCUGCCAAGGAACAGGCGCUCUUCAGUACAUCAGCACUAGAUGAAACCAAGUUCAAGUGUUGUAGUCCUGAUGUAGAUUCAAGUCAGCCUCCAUUGCUAAUGCUCUCAUCUCACUUCUGUGAUACGUACUGCAUGGAAUUAACACAAAGGCCAUUACUGAAGCCUUUAAACCUGAGGAGAGGAGAUCCAGAGUGACUGCUGAGAAGAGCAUAGAGAACAGGUGGGAAGCUGAUCCUUGUUACUGGUACCCCUGUGACCUACAGAACAGAUGAGUAAAAUGCACCUCCAUAACUUUGUCUCCAAGGAAGAAGCUUGGUCUAGAGGGGACUAUCAUGGACAGUCAGCUUCAUCACACAGACCACAGGGAUCUCAUUAGGACUUAAAAUCUACUUUCAGGAGUUGUUCAAGGACUGAAGAUAUUCUUUAAAUCUCCCAGUUCUGCUGACUACUGUGUACCCAGGAGGCUACAUCCUUCCCUAUGGCAGUCCAGUCCAGCUAUUGCACACUUGCCAACAGUGUCUGCAGAAACUCAGUGAUGACAAACUGAUUUUCAGACAGCCUUAACUCUUCCUCCUUUCAGCCACUAGAUGCUGAAAUAGCAGGCCAUCAAGGAAGAUUGCAGGAACCAGCCAUACUCAUAGGCUUCUGCCCACUGACCUUCCUUUCAAGCUCCCACCUACUAAACAGUUCCAUAUUAUUUUGACAUAAAUUUGGGAGGGUUGUUUUUUUUGCAGCCUUUUUUUGUACAGGUAGAUUGGAUUAGGAUUAAUAGAUUAUGAAGACCACUCAGACCUGUCAUUCCCUAAAGCACUGGCAGAAAAUCCAGCUCAGUCCUGUCUGACAAGUAUGGAAGGUCAUCCAAACUACACUAAGAAAUAAAGUGAAUUUAGGUCAUUGCUAGUUAAUGGCUCUUUUGAACCAAAAUAGAGUUUCGCUGUUCAUGCAUGUUAUUUUUAUGAUGUAUUCAGGGACAACAAAGGCUGUCUGCUGUCCUUAUUGACUUCAAUUUACAAUACAGCUAUUUCACCGUCCCACUCUGUCCUUAAUUCAGUCGCAAAAGGCCAUGCACUGGAAAGUUAUUAUUAUUUAUAUACACCAUGCCACUGCCUAGGCACGUAAUCAAGGAUCGAUUGUGCUAUGUAGUGUACAGACAUAUAACAAAGAAAACAGUCCCUGCCUCAGGCACUCGCAGUCUGUGCGGCAAGUACAGCAGGUAAACACAAGUGAUAAAUAGCACAGCCCUGGAUAAGUGAAAAAUAAAAUGCAUAACAUUUAUCAGAAAACAGAUGUCCCAACUUCCUACCUAGGUUUUAUAUUUGUCCUGUCUUUGGCAUCCCACUUUAGCAGUUUGUUUUUUUAAGCUCUUUCAGUAUGAAACUUAUUACUUUAUGCCCACAUACACAUAAAUUCCAUGAAUAAAAAUAUCAUAAUAAUUUUACAUAUUCUUAGAAACCAUAUGUAUAUGCAUUACACAAAAAGUUAAAAGUUAGUGAGGAAGACUAAUGGCAAUCACAAGGCUUUGCAUGAGUAUCAGGAUGCAUGUAAUUAUGAGUGUAUAUAGGUGUUUUUACUGCACACCUCAGUUCAUUGCAUGUGUAGAGCUAAUACAUAUUGAUAUACUUCAACAUCAUUAUUCUGUUUUACACUUGUAAAGAUAGAAAAGUCACUGGAGAAAAUGCUGGAUAAAUGGGUUGCAAAAAAGUAACUUAGACAGCUUUUAGAAGUUAAAAUGAAUGACAGUCACAGUCUUGAAUCACUGUCCAUAUAUGUACUCACUAGAAAACUCUCCUUAAUUUUCAUCAUAACUGUUGUUUAUGGUAUACAUACAUGUUUGUGAUGUACAUUUCAUCAACCUAGUCAUACUGAUUCGAGGGAGACAUGCCAUUUUAUAAUUGAUGGAUGAUAUUAGGCAAACUAGUGCAAUCUGACAUUCAGGUCUAGCAAUCACAGAAGGCCCAGCAGCAAAGUGAGUCAGUGAAAAAUUCAACUACCCUACUGUAAAAUGCUCUGGAUUUGUCAGAUUUGUCUCACUGAAUUCAUUGAGCUGACCCUUCAAAUCAGGCUGUGCACAUAUGAGGUCAAAACAAGAUCUGUGGUCUCUGAACAUGCAAUGCCUGGGCUGCUCACCAUCUCCAUAUGCUGCAACUGUUACCUUUCUCUCCCCAUCCUAGUUGUAGCAAGUGGAAAGUCAACAUUUAAUUUAUGUAUUUGAUUAGUUACUGAUAUCUAGCUCCUAUUUUUUUUUACACAUGGAGAAGUGUACAUGAACAGAUCCAAAACAGAAAUGAUAGGAGAAUGAAAGCUUGCUGACACUCCACCUGUUGCUGCACUAGAGACACUUCAGCAGAGAUGACAUCUGUUUCCAGAUGUUGCUUCUUUUGUAGACAAGGAAAGACAAAGUUAUUCUCUGGGAAGAGCCCACUUAUAUGGAGAGUAAGUGAAGUAUGAUUUAGCAACUACAACCUAUGCAACUACAUAAAAUAAGGCCAGGGCACAGUCAGGAAUACACUACAGUACUGUACCAGGACUGUUGCACUCUUUUAUUGUUAUCACACUCCUUAACAUUGUUUUGACACAUGCCAGAUGAUGCCUGGAUGUGGUUUGUGGGACAGCACUUGUCAGGAGCUAUUUCCAUUAGCCAGCCUGAACACUGUGACACUUCCUUCUGAGAGGAGCAGACACAAAAUUCUUGGUUGAAAAUAAUUUGUCUUAGGAAAAUAUUAGUCUCAAGGAUCACAUUCAUACUGCACCUACUCUAAGCAUCUGCUCAUGGCCACUACUGCUAAGAGAAUCCUGGAAUAGACCUGAUUAGGUCACUAAAUUAGUUUUUAAGACCUUUUGUGUGUCUGUACGUGUGUGUAUACACACACAGACUUUGACAGACACAUACAUACCCCCAGAAAUGCAAACCUACUUUCAGUAGGUUUUCUAAGAUCAUAAAUUUGGAAGGUCAACAAUAGCAGAAUUUUCUAGAGGUUAAAAAUAUUCCAUCCAGAGUUCAAAUUAAAAAUUGAAACAGAAGGUCAAUGGCUACAAACUAACAAUCUCAGAAAACUAAGUCCUCAUUCCUGAUCUAUUAUUGGCCAGAAGAAAAGAGUAAACCAAUGCAUUCAUAUAAUAUGCCUUUUUUAUCCCUGUCCCCCACUGAGUAAAUGAUAGUUAAGCACACUUAAACAUAAUAUCUGGAAAGAAAAUGAGAAUUUUUGCUGGUUAAUUUGAAGUGUAGCUCUCUGAUUAAUUUUAAUGCAGUUAUUCCCUAAGAAACUAGUUUAUUAGAAGAGGCUGUAAGUGAUGCACUUCUUCCCUAGAUGUUGUCUUUUUUACAUUUUCAGAUAUUUUCCAUCGCUGUUUUUCAAAAAAGGAAUAAAGCACUCUUAUCACCAAAUCUGUGUACUUUGGGAUCUGCACCUCAGAGAUUUUUCAUGAACUUUAAAAAAAUUAAUUUUAAGGAGUUGAGCCAGGAAAACAGAGACACAAGGUAUUGAUAUUAAAUUACAUUGAAAAAAAAAACAUAAAUAUUUUUUAUAUUUCUGCUUAUACUGAAUAUUUUUAUGUUUCAACACAGUCUGUAUGUUCCUUUUUGUGGAAAGGGCCUUAUAGCUGGAAUCCUGAGCUCAGGCUAAAGAUAUUCCAUGAUAAAAUGUUUUAUCCUUCUUGUGUAGCAAGAAAGCAGCCAGUCUGUCUUAGUUAAAUCUAAAUGUCAAUGAUCACAACUGAUUGUGCCCAGAUUUUCUGCCAUCCCUGUUAAUUGUGAACAAAGGGAUCGGCAUUUGGCACCCAAAUUGCAGAUAUGGCCAGCAACACCUUGAGAGGAUGUCAGGUACUCUUUAGGUGACUGUUCUCGCUGCUCUGUAACAACUGUAAACAGGGAACAACCACAAGUUUCAAAACCUGCCAAGAUUUUUUCACCCUAUGACCACGUUUAAUUUUUUAUUUUUUUAUUUUUUUAGUCCUCUCCUCCCCCCUCCUCCUUAAAAAAACUAGAGAUUCUUUGACUGUUCUUCUGAAAACCUGACACUUCUUUGUCUGCUCUUCCAAAGGGAGGGCUCUUUUACACUGUAUUCAUCUUCAAGCUGGGACUGCCAAUUAUAGCUCCACCUGGGCUCAGGAAUAAAAGAUGUCAGACUGCAGCCUUUGUCCUUUUUUGACUGCUUUAUACUGCUAUUACAUUGAUUGCUCUUUGUUUCCCUGCAAAUGGGGUUUUACAAUUGCAGUCCACCUCCUUCCCUCCUUCUACCACACUCCCUACUCCUUGUUACAAGCUUUUUCUUCUUUCCUUUUCUUCAUAUUUUUUGUCCCCACUUCUGCUAAUAAUUUUUGGUAGGUGUUGAGUUUUGAUAAGAAUCAGUCACCUAGCUCUGAACCACUUCUUUAUGAGAUUUUAAACCACACUUGGAGACCAGCAAAGUUAAGUCAGCAGAGGGAUCAACACAGACAUAUCUCUAUCCAGGAAUAAUUCAGCACCCUAUGUCUCACUUACACCUUGUAAUUAUGACUGCUUUUAAUACGAUUUUUCUCUCCAGUUUAGAGACCUGUAUUCUUAUGAAUUAAAGGUGGAUCCCUGCCCUUUUGUGGCUUGUUCACAUCUGUCCAGAAAGCAGAGCAGGAAACCUUUAGCCAACAAUGCCAAUACGACACUAUAAAGAUUAAUAGGGUACCUGAAAAGCAACAAGGACUUUGAGUGAUUUCAAGGAUUCCAAAGACUCAAGAAAUCAAUUUCAGUGAAAAUGUCCUUGCUAAUUUAGUACCUGAUAGUAUUUGACACCUCUGUGCUCCAGUAAGAACACUGAGAAAUAUAAAGAUUUCUGUGCAUGCCUUUUGCAAUCAAGAUUGUAAAUGAAAAUUAAUGCUAGAUAAAUCCAUACAGGCAGAAAGAUAAAGAAUACCCUUCUAAUACCUAUCUAUUCAAAAUAAAAGUUAGCUCUAUUAUAUUUUUCACAUCUAGCAAAAAGAAAUAAAUCAGUAAAGGAAAAUAAAUUAUGGACACUGUCUAUGUAAGAGUGGAACAUUGUCGAUUGUGUCAGAACUGCUGCAGCAUUGCCUUAGCCCUGAAGAACCAUGUGAGGCUGCUGGGGGAAAAAGUCCACAACUCCUCCUGACAUGAGACAAUUUAGAUGUUGACUUGAUCUUGUCAUUGUUUCAUUGCACAUUAACAAAAACACCAGUUCAUGCUAGAUGCUCAAAAUAGGAUAAAAGCAAUCCAUAAAAUAAAAUCUCUCCUCUGAUGAUGUCGUAGGUAUUAAAAUUCUGUUUAUAGUGAAGGUUUUUAUAUGUCCUAAUUACAAGUUGAAACUAACUAUUGUCAAUUCUGCCAUGCUGAAAGAGCCUUAAUGAUGACAUUAUAGUUUGAAUAGAAUUUUUAAGCAGAUCUAACGUAAAAAGAUGUGUAAUUAAUCAAAUUUUAAGUUUACUUUAUAUAGGAAUAAAGGCCUGCUAUAACUUUCCCUGA